rnacentral:rRNA from 1 species
CCCACUGCGCUGGGCGGGUGGAGCAUGAAUGCAUGUGUUAGGCACCAAAAGAUGAUAAACUAUGCCUGGGCAGGGCGAAGCCAGAGGAAACUCUCGUGGGGGUCUGUAGUGGUCCUGACAUGCAAGUCGGUCGUCUGAUCUGGGUAUAGGGGCAAAAGACUAAUGGAACUAUCUAGUAGCUGGUUCCCUCUGAAGUUUUCCUAAGGAUAGCUAGUGCUCUCGCAAAAACCCCAUGCCAUGCAGUUAUUUGGUAAAGCGAAUGAUUUGGGGUCUUGGAGUCGAAAUGAUCUCAACCAAUUCUCAAACUUUAAAUGGGUUAGAAGACCAGCUCAAUGGUGUGGAGCCAGAUACGGAAUGUGAGUGCCUAGUGGGCAACUUUUGGUAAGCAGAACUGAUGCUGUGGGAUGAACGAAAUGCCAUGUUAAGGUGCCUGAUUCUGAUGCCCAUUAGACCCCAGAAAAUGUGCUGGUUGAUAUAGAGAGCAGGACGGUGGGCAUGGAAGUCAGAAUCCGCUAAGGAGUGUUUAACAACAACAAAUCAACUAGCCCUGAAAAACGGAUGGUACUGAAACAUUGGGCCCAUACCCGGCUGUUGCCAGCAGUUGAGAGUGGAUGGGAGUGGUGAGGGUGGUCACCCCCGCUGGAGCCCUGUGGAUGCUGGGAGGGCUGCUGCGGUGAGCCCUGAAGCCUUGGACGUGAGCCUGGGUGGAGCUGCUCCAGAUGCAGAUCUUGGUGGUAGUAGCAAAUAUUAAAAUGAGAACUUUGAAGGCCGAAGUGGAGAAGGGUUCCAGUUGAACGUGGGUCACUUGCUCCUGAGACAUGGGCAAGUACCAUUCCGAAGGGAUGGAUGAUGACUUCCAUUGCCCCCGGCUGAUGGAAAGGGAGUCAAGUUCAGAUUUCUGAAUCCGGAGUGACAGAGAUGGGCACUAUGAGGCAUUCAGGGAGGUAAUGGAACUGAUUCUGGAGAAACUGGUGGGAGCCCAGGGGAGAGCUCUUUUUGUGAAGAGCAGGGCGCCCUGUAAUGGAUUCACCCUUAGACAGGGGCCUGUGCCUUGGAAAGAAUCACAGUUCAAGUGGCAUCUGGUGAGCUCUCACAGGCCCUUGAAAAUCUAGGAGAGAGGGUGUAAAUCUCACACUGGGCUGUAACCAUAUCCACAGCAGGUCUCCAAGGUAAACAACCUCUGGCAUGUUAGAACAACAUAGGUAAGGGAAAUCAGCAAGCUAGAUCAGUAACCUCAGGGUAAGAAUUUGCUCUAAGAGCUUUGCCAGUCCGGCUGCGGCUUGAAGCGGGGCUGGGUGCAGGCAUUGGUUGGAUGAAGUGCUGGUACUCCACGCCCCAACGCUAGCAGCACCCCUCUGCAGACAUCCCCCAGCCCACCUCGCCAUACCUUCCUCUUCACUAUCCCUCCCUACCUCACUAUUGCUGGUUCCUGGCGGCCCAUUUAGAAAUGAUGCAGACCACGGGAAUCUGACUAUAUAAAACAAAGCAUGGUGAAGGCCCGUGGUGGGUGUUGACACAAUGUCAAUUCUACCCAGUGCUCUGAAUGUCAAAGUGAAGAAAUUCAAUGAAGCACGAGUAAAUGGCGGGAGUAACUAUGUCUCUCUUAAGUGUAGCCAAAUGCCUCAUCAUCUAAUUAGUGAUGCACAUGAAUGGAUGGGCAAGAUUCCCACUGUUCUUACCUGCUAUCCAGCGAAACCACAGCCAAAGGAAUGGGCUUGACAGAAUCAGCAGGGAACGAAGACCCUAUUGAGACUGACUCUAGUCUGGCACGAUGAAGAGACAUGAGAGGUGUAGAAUAAGUGAAAGACCCCUGCACCCCUCUGUUUCUCUGAGGAGAUGGGGUGAGGUCCACUGACCUUGUGGGCUGCCAGUGAAAUCCCACUACCCUGAUCAUUUUUUCACUGACCUGGUGAAGUUGGGGCUGGGUAGGUGAGCCACAAGGGGCCCACACUUUUGGCACCAAGCACCUGGCCACAUGCUGGCUGGAUGUUAACUGCUCCAGGAAUAGUGCCAGGUGCAGAGUUGGACUGGUGCUGCACACCUGUCAAACGGUAAUGCAGGUGUCUGAAGGUGAGUGCAGGGAGUACCAAAACCUCCCAUGGAGCAGAAGGGCAGAAGUUGCUUGAUCUUGAUUUUCAGUACGAAAGCAGGGCCUCAUGAUCCUUUUGAUGUUUUGUUUGAGUUUUAAGCAGGACGUGUCAGAGAAGACACCACAGGGAUAACUGCCUUGUAGUGGCCAAGAGUUCAUAGCAACAUUGCUUUUUGAUCCUUUGGUGCUGGAUCUUCCUAUUGUGAAGCAGAAUUCACCAAGCAUUGGAUGGUUCACCCAGUAACAAGGAACCUGAGCUUAGUUUAGAACAUCAUGAGACAGGUUAGUUUUACACAACAGUCUUUUAAACAAGGGUCUUCCCAUCUCAGUCUCACGAGUACCUGGGACUACUGGGACCUUCUUCUUCUGUAUUUUUUCUAACCACCAUUUCAGUUUGUUUCCACAAUACUUAGAGUAACUUGCUGUGAUUUUUCAUUGUUCUUUUCUCUCUCCAUUCUCAUAUGCUCCUUCCUACACACUGAAGUUGACCUUUGGUUUAUUUUUUGUCAUAGUUCACACUGGUUAUGACACACACACACACACACACAAAGUGAGAGAGAGAGAGACAGGAGUUGUCAAUUGUGAUAUUAAAUAUCUUUUAUUAUUAUUAACUUCUGCUUAAUUAUUUCAUCUUUAAGAUUGUUGUUUGAUAUUGUUAUAUACUUAC